GAUCCUGGCUCGGGAUGAACGCUAGCUACAGGCUUAACACAUGCAAGUCGAGGGGAAACGACAUCGAAAGCUUGCUUCCGAUGGGCGUCGACCGGCGCACGGGUGAGUAACGCGUAUCCAACCUGCCCACCACUUGGGGAUAACCUUGCGAAAGUAAGACUAAUACCCAACUAGAUAUCUCUAGAAGACAUCUGAAAGAAGAUUAAAGAUUAUUCGGUGGAUGGAGUGGGGAGUGCGUCUGAUUAGU
rnacentral:rRNA from 1 species